rnacentral:rRNA from 1 species
UACGGGGGGAGCAAGCGUUGUUCGGAUUUACUGGGCGUAAAGGGCGCGUAGGCGGCCACGACAAGUCACUUGUGAAAUCUCCGGGCUUAACUCGGAACGGUCAAGUGAUACUGUCGGACUAGAGUACAGAAGGGGCAACUGGAAUUCUCGGUGUAGCGGUGAAAUGCGUAGAUAUCGAGAGGAACACCUGCGGCGAAGGCGGGUUGCUGGGCUGAUACUGACGCUGAAGCGCGAAAGCUAGGGGAGCAAACAGG